UUAAAAACCAUGCCGAAGACAGUAGGUGUCCCAAGGGACGUAAGCGAAGCGCCUACCGAGGAAAGAGUUUAUGAUUAAGACUUUUUGCCUUCCUGUCUUCAGGGAGGCUUUUCUUAUA
rnacentral:sRNA from 1 species